CAAAUACAAAAUACAAAAAUACUUGCUCUCUCAGUCAAAGACAUUUCAAGUUUAGGGUUGGGUUUCUCAUUUCUUUCUCUUCGAGUUCGAUUCCUUCCACAACAGCUCCUCUCCUCCUUCUGUGACGACGAGACGAUGCCGGCGACAACAUCUCCUCUCCUCUCAAGUAGGCUUGCACAGUUAUGAUUUCCCUGUCUCACUCUCAUCUGGCUCUCUGUGGCUGGCUUUCUCUCAACCUCUCUGUGGCAGAAUGUGAGGGUUGGAAGCUUGAGAGUUGUUCAUUCUUGAUAAUGAUAUGGGACUUUAAAUUGAUGGCCUUGAGACUGCAUAUUGUUCAAACCAAAAGCACUGGGUUCUUGAAGGAAGAUGCUAGAAGAUGCUUGGUAUUGAAAAUGUAAUCUUCAUCAGCAUGAACUGAAACUACUCAGUACUGGCUUUUACAUUGGGAGAAUUCAUAAUAUUUUAUUCGAUAAAAAAAUACCUUGUGAAAUACAAUUGAAGCUAACGAAAAGCUAGGACUUCCCAACCCACUGAACAUGAAACUUCACUGCAAUCAAUGGUACCAUGCAUAUGAAGAGUCCUAAUUUACACGACUUCUAUAUCUUCUACAUGGGAAAGGGACUCACUCUUCUUCUUGUGCUUCUUAAUUUGAAAUUGGUUUUGAUUAUGUUUUUCAGUUAGGUAUUGUUUUGAUUUUGAUUUUGGAUUUGCAGGUAUUCCAACUAGCGGCCCAUCCACCCUUCCCAGCAUCUGAUAAGGGUUGGGGUAAAGAAUUAGGCCAAGUACAAGACUAAUAUACUAUUUUGGAGUCUAUUUAUUUGGCUACUUGAAUUUGUAAUAUUUUCAUUGUAUCUGGAGAUUGUAAUUUUUUUUUUAAUUAUACAUGAUGACUUAAGAUUAUAGAUUUAUAAUUAUUGGUUAUGUAGAGUGAAUGUAUUGAACAAUACUUUCAAUUACAUGAAUGAAGUUUAUGUUGGCUUUGAUAA